rnacentral:rRNA from 1 species
AGUUUGAUCCUGGCUCAGGAUGAACGCUAGCUACAGGCUUAACACAUGCAAGUCGAGGGGAAACGACAUCGAAAGCUUGCUUUUGAUGGGCGUCGACCGGCGCACGGGUGAGUAACGCGUAUCCAACCUGCCCACCACUUGGGGAUAACCUUGCGAAAGUAAGACUAAUACCCAAUGAUAUCUCUAGAAGACAUCUGAAGGAGAUUAAAGAUUUAUCGGUGAUGGAUGGGGAUGCGUCUGAUUAGCUUGUUGGCGGGGUAACGGCCCACCAAGGCGACGAUCAGUAGGGGUUCUGAGAGGAAGGUCCCCCACAUUGGAACUGAGACACGGUCCAAACUCCUACGGGAGGCAGCAGUGAGGAAUAUUGGUCAAUGGGCGAGAGCCUGAACCAGCCAAGUAGCGUGCAGGAUGACGGCCCUAUGGGUUGUAAACUGCUUUUAUAAGGGAAUAAAGUGAGUCUCGUGAGACUUUUUGCAUGUACCUUAUGAAUAAGGACCGGCUAAUUCCGUGCCAGCAGCCGCGGUAAUACGGAAGGUCCGGGCGUUAUCCGGAUUUAUUGGGUUUAAAGGGAGCGUAGGCCGGAGAUUAAGCGUGUUGUGAAAUGUAGACGCUCAACGUCUGCACUGCAGCGCGAACUGGUUUCCUUGAGUACGCACAAAGUGGGCGGAAUUCGUGGUGUAGCGGUGAAAUGCUUAGAUAUCACGAAGAACUCCGAUUGCGAAGGCAGCUCACUGGAGCGCAACUGACGCUGAAGCUCGAAAGUGCGGGUAUCGAACAGGAUUAGAUACCCUGGUAGUCCGCACAGUAAACGAUGAAUACUCGCGAUUUGCGAUACACAGUAAGUCGCCAAGCGAAAGCGUUAAGUAUUCCACCUGGGGAGUACGCCGGCAACGGUGAAACUCAAAGGAAUUGACGG